rnacentral:tRNA from 1 species
GCUGAGAUAGCUCAGGUGGUAGAGCGCCAGUAUAUAAUAAUACAUUCCGCUUUUGGCAACCAAUGUUCCUAUAAAAUUUAAGGGAACUGGAGGUCGUGGGUUCGAAUCCCACUCUCAGUCCCA